rnacentral:rRNA from 1 species
ACGACGCUGGCGGCGUGCCUAACACAUGCAAGUCGAGCGGAGGAUUCGAGAUGUUUACAUCGAAGGAUCCUUAGCGGCGGACGGGUGAGUAACACGUGGGUAACCUGCCUCAGAGUGGGGGAUAGCCUUUCGAAAGGAAGAUUAAUACCGCAUAAGAUUGUAGCGUCACAUGGCGCAGCAAGAAAGGAGCAAUCCGCUUUGAGAUGGACCCGCGGCGCAUUAGCUAGUUGGUGAGGUAACGGCUCACCAAGGCCACGAUGCGUAGCCGACCUGAGAGGGUGAUCGGCCACAUUGGAACUGAGACACGGUCCAGACUCCUACGGGAGGCAGCAGUGGGGAAUAUUGCACAAUGGGCGAAAGCCUGAUGCAGCAACGCCGCGUGAGUGAUGAAGGCCUUCGGGUCGUAAAGCUCUUUGAUCAGGGAUGAUAAUGACAGUACCUGAAAAACAAGCCACGGCUAACUACGUG